UCUCUCUCUCUCUCCUCUUUUUCCUCUCUCCCUGCUACGGUGAGUGUUAGGGUAUAUUUCUCCUGCCUCUCUCUCUCUCUCUCUCUCUCUCUCUCUCUCCUUCGCUUGUAACCGUUUUGAUCUCGUCCUAGAUCUGAGUAUCCGAUUAUUUCUUUUUCCCAUCUUGAUUAAUUUAUCGAUUGCGUACAUGCUUUUACUUGGGAAUUUGGAUUUCUGUAGCCUUUUUGCCCACUCGUGGUGUCUGUCGAUCUGAUAUUAACAUAGAUGGACGAAGAUUUCUUGGUUAGAUUUAUAAUCAUGUUUCAAGAGAUUGGCUUGCAAGAUUUUCCGGAUUUAAUUUCAUCGGAGCAUACUGUCUUGCUGUGUUGAAGGGCAACCUCUGGGAGCGAUCACGGCAACCAUUAUGAGAGUUUCUAGCUCUAGCUCAUCCUCUAUAUUUUAACUCAAUUGCUGGGGCAAUUUCAAGAUAAAAACCGAGGGGUUGGGUUUCUGGAGUUCUUGCACUUGCUGAAUUUAUACUUUUUGUACUUUUUAUAGUAUCUAGCGUAUUAAAGCUGAUGCAAUCAUUAAAUAGGAAAUGCUUGAUGAAACAGAAGGAGGAAUUGAGUGAUUGAAAGAUUCAAAAGUGGGAAGUAUUUAACUGUCAUAUAUGAAGGCAAGGCACAAGGAAAAUUGACAAAUACAUUGGAGACCGCCAAGAAUUCUGCUAUUGCUGGUUUGCCUCAGUAGUUACUUUGUCAUGUUUCACUAAUAAUCUGCCUAUGUUUUUGAUUGUUUCCAUAUCUAUUGCUCUGUCGAUGAAACAACCUAAUUAAAUUGAUCAUCUGAAUGGGGUUUCUAAGAAUGCUUUCUUGCAACGAGACGUAGCUUUUUCCCCUCGUAAAUAUUCUUUCUGCUGAAAGAUUACAACUCAUAGUUUUUUUUAAGAGAAUAACUGCAUAUUUCUAAAGUAAUAUCAUUGUCUUAAAAUAUCAUACCUUUUAGCAAAAGAAUCUCAAUUUUGGUAUUUUUUAUUCAAGUUAUUUUUUUAGUUAUUUAUGGAAUAAACUUAAUUCAAAUUUAUCUGACUGUAUGUAAGUAUGUAACACAAGGCAUUCUAUCUCUAGCAUUCUAGCUUGUUGGUAGACCAUGCAUGAGGACACAUAAUAUAACAUUCUAUAACCAGAACUUAUCUGCUCUUUUACCAACUAACAUGAGUUUUUUAUUUCACAGUAUUAGUUGGUUUCUCAUGAUGUAUUUUUCCUCUUAUGGUGAGUCUUUUUGCGCUCUAUCAUUGUACUAUUUUCUUAUUUUGUAUUUGAAACAGUGGAAGUUUAUAUCUUAUCUAUUUGUUAUCUCUCCCUCUAAAAGGAUAUGAUGGUUAAGUAAAAGGUUCGAGUAAGAAAACUUAUUGGUGGUGAUUAGAUUAAGUUGCGAGAAAGGAAGAUGGCCCUUGUCCUUGCUCAAGUUGUAGCAUUGUGGCUUUUGCAAGCUCUUCAACAACAAGUUUUUCAUGCAUAUGCAUGAUGUUGGGUUGAAAGAAAAGGCAUGGGCUGCAUUCUAAGUUUGAAUGCUAGCCUAGACUUUCUCCCAAUAUUUCAUAUUACAAUCCCAAUGACCAUCUAAUCACUAUCAUGUUUUCUUCACUGAUAAAUCCUUCAAGCUGAUCCUUCCAGUCUUCAAGAUUUUGUGUUUUUUGCCUUCUUAGUUUUCUUUUAUUGAAAUUUUGGUACCUAAGUUGGAUUCUGAAAUUAAUUCUGCUCUCAACUUUGAUAUUAUUGCUGAAUUCAUGCUUUCUUCGUGGUCAUUGGAUAUACUGGACAAUCUUUGAAAACAUUUUUUCUGCAAAUUGGUCUUGCUUGUUACAUGAUUAGUAGGUUUCCAUCUUCAGAGAAAUGAUGCAUGUCUUUAAGAAUGCGUCCUAUUGCUAAGAUACCAGAAACUUCAAGUAAGUAUUCUAAAAGUUGUUGAUUUGCGUUUCUUACCGUAGAUUUGUUAGACCACAUUGUUAGUGUAACAGCUUGAAGCAUAAUCAUGAGAACAUCAUAGUCAAGGCAUGAGUUGAGAAAAGCAUUGUUAUCUAAUCUCUUUACAUGUUUGGUAGAAUUGCUGCAGAUGAAAACUAAUGCAUGCAAAAGGUUGGACAUAUCUUUUGUCUCAUAUGUUUUAGCCUUUCCAUCCAGUUUUUGAUUUAUAUCCUUUCUCUGGUUCUGCAUGAGUUUGGUCAUCAUAUAUAAAGUUUCCAUUACAUCCUGAAAUGGCUGCGCAUUAAUGUUGCAAAUGUUGGCAUGCUAAGUUGUGAUCUUAUACAACCUCGUUUUUGCAUACCGCUUGUUGACAUAUUGUACCUCCUUCAAGCAUCGACUUAAUGUUUGUUCCCUUUUUCUCCUGCUAUUACACAUUCCCUUUCUUUUCCUGCUAUUCUACAUGCUGGAAGAGCAUGAGGCACACUCCACAAAUAUAUUAGCAAGACUGAUAAUAAUAAAUUUACUUGGAAUACCAUUUGUUUGCUGCUCAUAUCAUAUAAUCUAGAAGCCCUCUUUUUGCAUAAAACCAUAUGGGCUGUACAUGGAGGAUUGGUAUGUUUUCCAUUUAUGUAUCACAUCUAGUACUUAAAGAAAGCAUUUGAAGUUUUGUAUCUGAGGUACAUUAGACAUUAUUUACAUGCUAAUCUAUCCAAUCUGAAGAAAAAUUUUCACCUUUGUGAGGGCGGAGACAAAGUCUUGGGAACCAACCGGUUAUCCAUUUUAAACCCUUACUUUCGGCCUUUUUAUUAGAUUUAUGUUUUCCAUCAGACUGUAAAACUAUUAUUUUUGUUUUCAGUGCAACAGUGUGGAGGGAAAUCCUUCAUCUUCAAUUCGUGCCUUUCUCAAAACCUAUUUUGUUAAUAAAAGACAAAGGCAGAAUAUUGCUUAUGAGGUGUGUGUUUGGAGCUACAGUCUGUGAUUUUGUCUACGUCUCAAUGUCAAUUGGUUAGGCUUUCUGGUUCCAUGGCAAUAUUCAUGUCUAUGCCAAAGUGCAGAAAUUUUCUCCCACUUGAAGCGCAAAGGAUUUGAGCUACAAUUAAUUAAGUUGGUAGCUCCUUCAAGGGAGUCUGCUGAAAAGCCCUCCAAUUAUCUAAAGGAAUGCUGUUCUUUUAUGGUCUAUGUGAUUUCCUCAGAACUGAUCCUGUCCUUGCAAUGGUAAGAAUGGCAAGGGGUACUAUUUCUUUGAAGGAGAUUACAUAGGAUAUAUAUUUUGCCUGUAACUCCCGCUCAACCAUUUUAAAGAGUCGCUUCAUGUGGGUAGGGUGAUUAUGAUGUUCUAAGCUAUUUCACAUGGUUACAGAAGUCGCAAUGGGUGUAAAUAUGAAUAUUCAAGGUUGUAAAUCGAGUUCAAUGUUAAGUGAGGCUCUCAUUGAGAAAAAAAAAAUAAAGAGUAAAUUACAAAAAA